rnacentral:tRNA from 1 species
GCCCACAUAGCUCAGUUGGUAGAGCACAUCCUUGGUAAGGAUGAGGUCAGCAGUUCGAUCCUGCUUGUGGGCU